GAAAUUACGUUGACCAAUCUCCCACCUCUCUGUCUUUGUCUCCAGGGCAAAGAGCCUCCCUCAUCUGCAGGAUCAUUCAGAGCACUGGCUGCUCUGACUGACCAGCAGAAACCUGGGCAGGAUCCCCAGCUGCUCAAGCAUGGUGCAUUCACCAGGGCCACUGACAUCCCAGUGGGGCUCAGUAGCUGUGAAUCUGGGAUGUACUUUACUCUCACCAACAGUAACCUGGAACCUGAAGAUUUUGCACUUGAUUACUCUUAUCUGUAUAGUAGUUGGAAUUU
rnacentral:lncRNA from 1 species